CCUACGGGUGGCUGCAGUGAGGAAUAUUGGUCAAUGGACGCAAGUCUGAACCAGCCAUGCCGCGUGCAGGAAGACGGCUCUAUGAGUUGUAAACUUCUUUUGUACGAGGGUAAACUCAUAUACGCGUAUCUGUCUGAAAGUAUCGUACGAAUAAGGAUCGGCUAACUCCGUGCCAGCAGCCGCGGUAAUACGGAGGAUUCAAGCGUUAUCCGGAUUUAUUGGGUUUAAAGGGUGCGUAGGCGGUCUGAUAAGUUAGUGGUGAAAUCUCGAGGCUCAACUUCGGAAUUGCAUUUGAUACUGUUCGGCUAGAGAGUAGUAGAGGUAGGCGGAAUGUAUGGUGUAGCGGUGAAAUGCUUAGAGAUCACACAGAACACCGAUUGCGAAGGCAGCUUACCGAGCUACAUCUGACGCUGAGGCACGAAAGCGUGGGGAGCAAACAGGAUUAGAUACCCCUGUAGUC
rnacentral:rRNA from 1 species